rnacentral:rRNA from 1 species
UCGAACGAUGAUCCGGUGCUUGCUCCGGGGAUUAGUGGCGAACGGGUGAGUAACACGUGAGUAACCUGCCCUUGACUCUGGGAUAAGCCUGGGAAACUGGGUCUAAUACCGGAUAUGACUCCUCAUCGCAUGGUGGGGGGUGGAAAGCUUUUGCGGUUUUGGAUGGACUCGCGGCCUAUCAGCUUGUUGGUGAGGUAAUGGCUUACCAAGGCGACGACGGGUAGCCGGCCUGAGAGGGUGACCGGCCACACUGGGACUGAGACACGGCCCAGAAUCAUACGGGAGGCAGCAGUGGGGAAUAUUGCACAAUGGGCGCAAGCCUGAUGCAGCGACGCCGCGUGAGGGAUGACGGCCUUCGGGUUGUAAACCUCUUUCAGUAGGGAAGAAGCGAAAGUGACGGUACCUGCAGAAGAAGCGCCGGCUAACUACGUGCCAGCAGCCGCGGUAAUACGUAGGGCGCAAGCGUUAUCCGGAAUUAUUGGGCGUAAAGAGCUCGUAGGCGGUUUGUCGCGUCUGCCGUGAAAGUCCGGGGCUCAACUCCGGAUCUGCGGUGGGUACGGGCAGACUAGAGUGAUGUAGGGGAGACUGGAAUUCCUGGUGUAGCGGUGAAAUGCGCAGAUAUCAGGAGGAACACCGAUGGCGAAGGCAGGUCUCUGGGCAUUAACUGACGCUGAGGAGCGAAAGCAUGGGGAGCGAACAGGAUUAGAUACCCUGGUAGUCCAUGCCGUAAACGUUGGGCACUAGGUGUGGGGGACAUUCCACGUUUUCCGCGCCGUAGCUAACGCAUUAAGUGCCCCGCCUGGGGAGUACGGCCGCAAGGCUAAAACUCAAAGGAAUUGACGGGGGCCCGCACAAGCGGCGGAGCAUGCGGAUUAAUUCGAUGCAACGCGAAGAACCUUAC